UAUGCAACACACUCGUACGCGUUUAUGCUGUUAAAACCCUUCAAAGCCCUAUUCUUUUCUUUUUCUUUCUCACUUCCUCUCUUUUCCUCGACUAGCUCUCUUUUCCUCUCUCAAAGCUGAAGCCAUCACAGAGCAUCUCCACUCUGCUACUUCUUCACUCGUCUCGCGGAGUUCAUCACAGAUUCUCUCUCUUUCUUGGAUUCUCAUCGCCGGCCACCUCUGAGUCUUCUCCGUUCAUCUUCUCCGACCAGCAUCGUCGUCUUCCUCUCCGAAUUCCUGCUUCUCUCGGAUCUUCAUUCGGGUUUUUAAAACGGAGGGGAGAGAGAGAGAGAGAGGAACAAGAAAAUAUAAAUGAUGUCGUUACAGGGAUUUGACAAGAACUCAGGUCCAAGAGUUCUUCCUAUGGCACAAAACCCAUUUGACCACUUCUCUCACGCCCCUUCACCAACUACAUCUCCCUCCGCUUCUCCAAUCCAGCCAUCUCCCAGGCCUGCUUUAUCUCAUCCUCCAUGGGGUAAUCAGCCAAAGGAUGGGAAACUGAUUGGUCUUGUUGAAUCAGCCAAGGUUACCAGGCAGCUUUGCCAGCUCCCUGAUUUAACAAGACCAAUCAGUUUCCCAUUCUUUAGGCACUUAUGCUUCUGGAAGUAGCUUUCCAACCAAGCAACAAACCAGGUCCCCAGCUUUGCUAUCUGCAAAUGAAGUUACCCAGGAAAAUUCUCAUUUUUCUUGGAAUAAAUAUAAAAGGUACAAGUAAUUUUCGCACACUUUCAGCAUCAUUGAUGUCAUUUUCUUCUUGGCAAUUUUCUAAAAACAAUGAUGCCAAAAGAUGGUUGUUCAUAUGGGCAGAAAAGUAUUUUGCUUUCUUUUCUUUUCUUUCUUUCCUUUAUUUCUUUUGUUUUAACUUAAGAUGAGCACCUCUUAAGAUUAAUCUUAGGAAAAGUAAGAUUCACCUUUGGAAUUCAACAUGAAAGGUAUCACAAACCUCAAAUCUUGAACCUAGAAGGUUGUAAUGGCAAUCCUAAUAGUUUAUAUUAUCAAAGGGAUCUACUUACCAUUUUAUUGAAAAUUUUAGAAGUGCUUACAUCCUUAGACCUAAAAAGAUUGUGAUGAUGAGAUCAGUACUGAUCCUCAGAAUUAAAAGGAGAUUAAGCAGGCCUUUUUACUCUUUUUGAUUAACAUACAUGUCUGAGUCCCUUUUGGAAUUUAUUGACAAGGUUAUCAGAAUGGAGAAUGAUGUAAUUGAGCUCCUAGGAGAUGAAGAGAAGAUAAAAAAUCCCUUUGUCAUCCUUUCUGUACUAGAGAAUCAUAAAAAAUCGAAGUAUAUGCCCAUAGUUGUUAAAGGCGCAUUGGGCGUGCGCCUCGGGCGCCGGGCGCAUCAAGGCGCAGCUUCAGCGCCUUGAGUAUGCUGAGGCGAGGCUGUUGACAAAGGCGCGUGCCUUUUGCAUUUGGGGCGAGAGGCUCAAGUAGUUAAAAAGGCGCGCGUUUGUCUUCUUCCUAUUAUUUUUGCCUUUUAAACAUUUGAUGUGUUCAGAUUCUUCUAACUUAAGGCUAUGUUUGGUAGGGUGGCUUUGAAGAGGAAGGAUAACAUUAGUUAUGAGGGAAAGGGAAGGGAAGGGAAGGAUAAUUGGUAUUGUGUUUGGUUGAUUAAUGAAGGAAAAGAAGGGGAAGGACAAUAAUCAUGUUUGGGAAAAGAAUAGGAAAGAAAAGAAAGGGAAUUAUUUUAUUAAUUGACCAUUAUACCCUUCUAUACUUAUAUAUAUAUACUGUCUCUAGGCCCACAAGAAAAUAAAUAAAAAAAUUUAGGGCAAAUCAUUUCAGCCUCCAUAUUCUCGUUCUCAACUCUGAUAUAUAUAUGUGUGUGUGUGUGUGUAUUUAUAUUGUCUCCUCAGGCCCACAAGAAAAGAAAAAUAAAUUUUAGGGCAACUCAUUUCAGCCUCCCCAAUCUCGCCUCCACAUAUAUAUAUAUAUAUAUAUAUUUAUUUAUAUUGUCUCCUUAGGCCCACAAGAAAAAAAAAAAAAAAAAUUUAGGGCAACUCAUUUUAGCCUCCCCAGUCUCGCCUCCAUCUCCAUUCUCGUUCUCCAGUCUGAACUUGCCCUCUCUCUCUCUCUCUCUCUCUCUCUCUCUCUCUCUGCACUACAAGAAUCAGGAGUUCAAAACCCAUCUAUUUCAGUUUAUCUAUCUGUCUGCAAGAAUCAAAAGUUCAAAACCCCUAUCGGUAUAUCAUUUCAGAUUGUUCAGAAAAUCAAAACUUAUUUCUUUCAAUUUCCAUCGCCGCUGUUCUAGUUCGGGUUCGCCGUUCGCAAGCUUCAGCCGCUGGCCCGUCGUCUCUCACUCUCUCUGCAGCUGCUAACUUGUGUGUAUAUAUAAUCUUGAUGGUAAAAUUGGCAUCACAAAUAUUGCUUCAGCCAUUGCCUUCCCUUUCCUUCCAUUUCCUCCCAUUUUGGGAGGAUAAGCAAAUUACUGUGCAAAACUAUACUUAACCCUCCAAAGCCUUCCCUCUCCUUUUCUUUCCUUCCACCCAUUUUACCUAAGCACAACUUUUUAAUCACCCUCCAUCACCUUCCCUUCCCUUUGCUCCCAUUUCCACUCUACCAAACUGAGCCUAAGUGGUGGGUGUUCCCUACCACUACCACCAAAAAAGUUAAAAGACCAGUCCAAAUAAAAAAGUAAAGGAACCCAAAUUAGGGCUUAAUUGCUACACGAAAUAUUUGGGAGCUCUGGGUCUCUUCGUCAAGCUCUCUCACUCUCUGGUAACCUUUUUGUCUCUUCUUCUUCUUCUUCUUCUUCUUCUUCAUCUUCUCUGUUUUUUUUUUACUUCUUUCUUCUCUAAUUUCUUGUUUUUUCCUUCUUCUUCUCUGUUGUUUUUUUUUUUUCAUCAUUCUUCUCUGUUUUUCUUUUUUCCCUUCUGUUCUUGCUUUUCUCUCUGUCUGUCUUCUUCUCUGGCAACCAGCUUCUUCUUCUUCUGUAUGUUUUUUUCCCUUCUUUCUUCUUUGUUUUUUUUUUUUUUUUUCCCCUUCUUUCUUCUCUGUUUUUUUUGUUCCUUCUUCUUCGCUCUUUUUUUUUUUUUCUUUCUCUCUUUUUUAAUUAUUUAUUUAUUUUAGCUAUCAAGUAUCAACAUGCCUGUUAGUUUUUCAUCUGGAGUGUGGCUUGUGAAAUGCUGCUAUUUUAGGCUUUUUAGCUGUGAAAAUGCAUGCCUGUAACACCUGUUAUUGUUUUCUAAUGUUGCUAUUUUAGCUCUGAAAAUGCAUGCCUGCUAUUGUUUCCUGUGGAGUGUGGCAUGUGAAUGCCUUCAUUUUUUUUGUUCUUUGCUGUGAAAAUGCCUGUUGCACUUUUUAAGUGAUGAUCAAGAUGGUGCUAUGUUUAUUGACGAUGAGGAUGAUAUUUAGAUCCUUUGGUGGUCUUCUUAGGAGUUAAGGAUGAACUGAUGAAGUGAACAUUUCUAUGUUUGUUUUAGUUUUUAUUUAAUUAGUUGACUUUUGCAUCUUUAUGUUAGUAAUUAGUAUGUUACUAUGUUGACUAUUGAAUGCAAAUAUUUGGUUUAGUUUGCUUUUGCAUCUUUAUGUUAGUAUGUUGAUUAUUAAACUUAUGUGUUUGGUUUACAUGAUUUUACAUCUUUAUUGGGUGUUAUUUUUAAUUUUUUUUCUCAACUUCAGUCGGGCGUGUGCCUCGCCUUGCGCCUUGCACCUCAAGCUCCAAGGCACCUUGGCGCCUUAGUACGCCUUAAGCCUUUAACAACUACGUAUAUGCCUGUUUGUUUUAACCCCCAUCUUGGUGAACCUUAUCAUGUGUUUUCCUUGUCUACGCCUACUCUAUCUCCUCCCAUCUCGGGUACUGCAUCAAAUGUUGUUUCCAGUGCUCCUGAUUCUCGAAUCCAUCAAAUGUCCUCGCCACCUGCAUGGUGUAUUGGUAGUGAAGCUGUUGUCACUAAAGCCUCCAACUUCUCAGUGCCCAAGGGAACACUAGGUCACCUUCUGCUGAUCAAGUCUUUCAGGGAAACUAUACUAGAUCAAAUGUUGUUUCCUAUGCUCCUGAUUCUCAAAUUCAUCGGAGGUCUCCGCCACCUGCCCAUCGAUGGUGCUGCUGUUGUGAAGCCUGCCAACUUCCCAGCUAUCGAAAGAACUAGGUCACCUCCUUCCCCCUUCUGCUGAUCAAGUCAUUUUUGAGAAUUCCAAUUCAGUCCAAGAUGAUGAUGAACGAGAAUUGCAAGCCGAAGCAAAGAGAAUGGCCCGUUUCAAGGUCGAACUAAGCCAACCAUUGCAAAGCACUCCUGGUAAUGGAAACCAGAAAUUCUCUACGAAUAGACCUGAUCGGACUAUGGGAAGGCAAAAAUUAAUGGAGGAACAUUCUGCCGAUAUGGUGGGGGAUCUCUCCGGUGGCAAUGCUUUAUCUGAUCUUGAAGCAGCAGAGUCAUCCAAUAUUAUAACUGGAUUAUGUCCUGAUAUGUGUCCAGAUAAGACUUCACAUAGUUGCCAUGCAUGAAUUAUGUGAAUACACAAAAGGAGAAGGCUUUUCGGAGGGUGUCGAUGCACACCUCAACAUUGAACAGAUGAACAAGACAUCAGUUGAAUUGUUCCAAUUGUAUGAUGAUCACAGGAAGAAAGGAAUAAAGGGGCCAAGUGAAAAAGAAUUUCGAGCUUAUUAUGCACUUCUCAAACUGGACAAGCAUCCUGGGUACAAAAGCUUGUAGAACGGGUAAUUUCCUAGCCUUCUUUCGGCUUGCAAGGAAAGCGAGUUACCUUCAAGCAUGCCUAAUGCAUGCUCACUUUGCAAAGGUAUGGGUAAAUACCUCCCAUUGUUUUAUGAUUAUGCUUUAAUUCGAGCCAUCUAUUUUGGAUUGUUUAUCCACUGUAAUUAUGAGUUUGCUUUAUAUGUAUACCCAUGAAUUUAGCUGCCACAAUAGUAAGUGCUGUGGAUAAUGUAACAGGUGGAUUUAAGUUCCUUUUUUUUUUUUUUUACAAUUAAUUUGUGCUGUCCAUGCUUAAAUAUUUCUCUUUUGCAUGUUUUAAUUAUGAGUUUGCUUUAUUUCUCUUUUGCAUGAUAUUACUGUGUAUCUAACAUGUGCACAUACACAUGGAAAUAUGAUAGUCUCAUUGUUUUGUUGUCUUAAUCGGUUAUGAACCCAUGCACUUGCAUCCUUACAUUGUGGUCUACAGAACAACCAAGGUAUCCCUGUGGCCCGUGUUGCCAAAUGGCUUGGAAUGGAGGAAGAAGACACAGAAAACCUUUUGGAAUAUCAUGGGUUCUGCUCCAACUACCACAAACAGCAUGGUGCUGUUUAUGGGGACAAGUUUUUUCAAUGGCCAGGGCCAAACUUCCUGUCUCAACAAGUUGAACUGGUGUUGGUUUCUGCUCAUAGAUCUUAGUCAAGCGGAACUCUUUCACUUCUUCAGCAGACAAUGAUACCGAUACAGGAGGAGAUGAAACAUCCUCAACUAUCCUUCUCGACUUUUUCAGAUGAGCAAGUUUUGAAAGCUUCACAAGAAAGUCAUUGUCAACAUUGAGAAAUGGGCCUUCUUUCACCAUGUAUGGCUCUUCAAAGGAAUUUGAUAAAAGAAUUUGAAGAGCCAAACAUGGUGAAAGAAGGCCCAUUUCCUAUAUUUCCGGAUGAUAUAUGGUGGCUUUACAAAGGUUCCAUUUCGGGCGAGGGUAUUGAGAACCAGAGACUACAACUUGAAAAUUACUUGAUCAAAUACCUGACCCAAUCAAGUAAGGCGAUGGGACUUGCACUGGCGACAAAGGAGGCUUGUGUAAUGCUACAAAAGAAUGCUUGGCUUGAGCUCCAUAAUUCAACCUGCUAUCUAGUUCCAAAGUGGGUGAUGAUUUUUCGACAGAAUUUUUAAUUGGUGGUUAAUGAACUUAACCAGUGGAGCGGUUUCUACAGCUUAUAUCUUGGAGCAGCGAGGUGUAGACGCCACGAUAUAUUUUUUUUAAGACUAUGCUAAGCUAAUCCAUACUCGUUGCAAUUAUUUGCAACCUAAGCUCACCAACUUACAUGCGUUGGGAAUUAUCCCCAUUGUUGUAUUUUCUUGUAGUAAAACAAAUAAAAAUUCCUUUACACACAUGGCGCGAAAUAUAUAAUUUCGCCAACA